rnacentral:rRNA from 1 species
AGGACGAACGCUGGCGGCGUGCCUAACACAUGCAAGUCGAACGGAGUCAAGAAGCUUGCUUUUGACUUAGUGGCGGACGGGUGAGUAACGCGUGAGUAACCUGCCUCUGAGAGGGGAAUAACGUUCUGAAAAGAACGCUAAUACCGCAUAACGUAUCGAAGCCGCAUGACUUUGAUACCAAAGAUUUUAUCGCUCGGAGAUGGACUCGCGUCCGAUUAGUUAGUUGGUGAGGUAACGGCUCACCAAGACCGCGAUCGGUAGCCGGACUGAGAGGUUGAUCGGCCACAUUGGGACUGAGACACGGCCCAGACUCCUACGGGAGGCAGCAGUGGGGGAUAUUGCGCAAUGGGGGCAACCCUGAACCGCAGCAACGCCACGUGAAGGAUGAAGGUUUUCGGAUUGUAAACUUCUUUUAUCAGGGACGAAGCUUGACGGUACCUGAUGAAUAAGCUCCGGCUAACUACGUGCCAGCCGCAGC